GCGCUUCAACCUGGUUAAAGAUCCCUCGGCAGUUGCAAGAAUCGAAAUAAAAGCAGUCACUAUCAGGAAACAGCCCACUCCUCUAAUGGCACACUGCAUGGCGUAUGUAUGUCCUUCUUCAAAAAUCCAGUGGGUGCGCAGGAUUUUAAAACUUACUUCUUUUCCUGUAUACUGACAUAUAUUGAAUGUGAAUUUCGAGCCCAUGACAUGUCCUAUAUACCGGUUAUAUAAUUGAAUAUUUACUUCAAACCCCUUACAAUAUGGCCAACAAAGAGAGAUAGCGCCAAACAGAGCAUGUCAAAACGCUGUCUCAUGGUAUGGCAGUAUACAGGACAGUUAUAAAUAAGUGUUUUUAUAAAACAGGGUCAGAGAUCUUUUAUCGUGGUAACUUUAUAUUCAUAUGGACUGCUUAAUUUGUACCUGUUUGUAUUAAUUAAUACCGACACCUGUUACUACACAUGAAUUGGUGACGUUAUGCACACAAAUAAGGCGUUCUGAUGUGAUUUUUACAACACGUAUGAUAUGAACGAGGUUAAAGUUUUCGCGACAUUUCUUCCCUUUUAUUAAUAUAUGAUGCAUGAUAGCCUUUAUCCUCAUAUUAAGACGAUAAACCAGGAAUAUGUAUGUUAAAAUGUCACAAAUUAUCUAAGCAGUAUUUAAAAGUUGUGAUAAGUGGAUAAAGAUUGUGGUUUUAAACCGGGAAGUACUGUACACAGAUAAGGACAUAAUAUCCUUAACGUUGUUAUGACGUCACUGAUGGCAAUACGGCAUCUAAAGGCACAUAUGUUAUACAACAAGUUGAGAAACUCUGAGAACUGAGGAACUUUAUUUAUCAUCUUCCUGUCGACAGUACCAAGUAAAUUCGUCUUCUUCUGUAUUUACGAACAGUAAUAAAACAAAUAGUGGUUCGCUUAUUGAUCAACCGGAAACGGAUUAAACGAAAUGGAUCUUGGUACUCAAUUUUUAAUGGGAGCCUAUAUAACAGUGGCGGUGUUUCUGUCUGUGAUACCAUUCAGUAUCUACAUGUAUUUAAUAUGUAAGAAAUCCAAGUUCGUUAGAAGAAUCAAGAGAUCUAUCAAUAAGUGUCGUGGAAAGGAAUUAGUAGAUGAUGACGGUAAUAGUUAUGUUGAUGUUCUUCGGUGGCCUUACCCAUCCCGUGAAACAGAAGAAGGAAUUUCGAAUAGUGUCUUUAUGAUAAAUCUGCCUAGUUACGAGGAGGUGAUGAAAAACAAAGAAAUGUAUAAUAUAACAUCGGAUAUUAAAGUAUUUUACAGUGUUAACCGGUCUGAUAACGAAUUAGACACGGAUAUUACAUUUUCAAAUGAAUUUCAGCGAGACGCCGCGACGCCCACGAAUGGUCCAGAAGCUGACUCAGCUCAGGGUGAUACACAAACUAACUCAUUACAACCCGGUGAUUCGCAGACUGACGUAACGCAACCCAGUCAUCCACAGACUGACUCAUUGCAACUCAGUGAUACACAAACUGACUCAUCGCAAUCCAAUCAUCCAGAAACCGACUCCUUGCAUUCCAGUCAUCCAGACACUGGCUCAUUGCAACCCAAUAAUCCACAAACUUGCUCAUUACAACCCAAUCAUACACAAACUGAUUCAUUCCAAUCCAGUAAUCCACAAACUGACUCAUCGUAACCCAACCAUACACAAACUGACUCAUUGUAAUCCAAUCAUCCACAAACUGACUCAUCGCCUUCCAAUCAUCCACAAACGGAAUCAUUGCAAUCCAAUCAUCAACAAACUGACUCAUCGCCACCCAAGCAUCCACAAACUGAUUCACUGCAAGCUAAUGCUACAAAAUCUAAUUCAGUGCUAUUGAAUUUGGAUGACACUAUAUCACCCGAGGAGUCGCAAAUCAGCUCUGUGCAGCAUAUCCAACCUAUCUCGGUGAUACUUACUAAUGGACAAAUAUCAGAAAACACAUCAUAGCACUCAAUAGAGCAGCAACCGGAACCGAUAGGUUUUUGUGAAUCCAUUUGCAAGCUACAGUAUUGUGAAAAAUGAUAAUCUGAAUGGGAUUGUUCCGUUCCGUUCAGUAUUUACACAGAUACGAUUAAUUGAAAACUUUGCAACGAUAUAAAAGAUGCCAUGUUUCACUGUGGUGAAAGAAUCUUUCGCAUCUUCAGUUUGCUGUUGGAUGUGAAUUAUUCUCAUUAUUGUAUGAUGUUCCUAUAUUGUAUAUUGCGAAACAUGCCAAUACGUGCUUUCUUGAAUAAUUGCUCCACAGAAAUCCAAAGACUAUGAGUUAUAUUUUUGUUUUCUUGCGCACAACCCUGCAGCUCUUUCGUUCGACAUAUUAUUAAACAUUUUGUUGUAAAAAUGUUAUGAGGGAUCACGGAUAAUUGUUUUAUUUGAAUAGUAAGACGAGGUAUCGUUAUAUAUUGGAUACUUGUUAUAUUUUAACAUUGUGAUGCAGUAUCACAUGGGAUCAUGUAAGUGUUAUAUUUCAACAAUAUGAUGCAGUUUCACCAUUAAUCAUUUAUUUGUGACGCAGUAUCACAUUGGUCAUAUAAUUGUUAUAUAUUUAAUAAUGUGAUGCCUUAUCACCAGGUAUCAUAUAAAUGGUAUGACUUAACAAUGUAAUACAGUAUGACCAUGGAGAUAUAAUUGUGAUGCAGUGUCACAGGGAACAUAAUAUAAUGGUAUGAUUUAAUAAUGUGAUACAGUAUCACAUGGAAUCAUAUAUUUGUGAUCAUAAAAAUGGUAUAAUUUAAUAAUGUGAUAUCUUAUCCCCAGGGAUCAUAUUUGUUAUAUAUUGAAAAAUGUGAUACAGUAUCACCAACAACGAUAUAAUUGCGAUACCGGGUCAUUUGUUUGUUAUAUAUUUAAUAUUGUGAUACAUUACCACCAGGAAUCAAAUGAAAUGAAAUGAAAUGUAGUUUAACGUCCUACUGUUCUGCUCCUAACCUGGGCUAAUGAAGACGGGCCACCAGGAAUCAAAUAAUUGUUAUAUUUUAAUAACUAGAUUAGUACUGAAUAAUUGUUAUAUUUUUAUAAUAAUUGUUAUAUUUUUAUAAUAAUUGUUAUAUUUGUAUAAUAAUUGUUAUAUUUUUAUAAUAAUUGUUAUAUUUUUAUAAUAAUUGUUAUAUUUUUAUAAUAAUUGUUAUAUUUGUAUAAUGUGACCCGGUACAGCCAGUUAUCGAAUAAUUGUUAUAUUUGUAUAAUAUGACCCGGUACAGCCAUUUAUUGAAUAAUUGUUUUAUUUUUAUAAUGUGACGCGGUAUUGACGCGUAUUUAAUAAUUGUUCUAUUUUAAUAAUGUGAUGCAGUAUUGAAUAAUUGUUAUAUUUUUAUGAUGUGACGCGGUACAGCCAGGUAUCGAAUAGUUGUUAUAUUGUAAUAAUGUGAUGCAGUAUGGACGCGUAUUGAAUAAUUGUUAUAUUUUUAUAAUGUGGCGCGGUACAGCCUUGUAUCGAAUAAUUGUUAUAUUAGUGAUGUGAGGGAUAUCUAAUGUAAUGAAUAUCGAAUAAUCGUUAUAUUCAAUAAUGUAUUGAAUAAUUGUUCUAUUAAUAAUGUGACGCGGUAUCGACGCAUAUCUGAUAUUUUAAUAGCAAAGAGAUAUCGAAUAAUGCGUAUAACUAAUAAAGUAUUGAUAUCUGAUAAUUUGAUAGUUAAGAUAUAUCGAAUAAUCAUUAUAUAUAAUGUAUUGAAUAAUUGUUACAUUAAUAAUGUGACGCACUAUUGAGGGUUUUCUAUCUGAUAGUAAGAGAUAUCGAAUAAUGGUUCUAUUUUAACAUAAUAUAUUUUAGUAUUGACGUGUAUUGAAUAAUUGAUAUAUAGUUAAUCCUGCAGAGUUUAAUGCCAGGUGUGUAAAUCUACUAAUUAUGAUAUAUCGCGUGUUCAUUGUUUUAGAUGAUCAACAGCAUUAUAUUCAAUAUUUAAACAUACAUUAUGUUAGAGCUAAAUCUUCUUAUUGCAGGCCUUUCUUUAGGUCAGAAACUAUUAAUUAGAUAUUUAUUAACUUAUCCAAACCAUAGUCAACUCGCGAUGCCAUCUUAUAUUUCCGAUGUCCAUGGGAUUUAAAUCCGAUCUGCUGUUCAACGCUCCUUGAUGAUUGAACACAAAUAUCGAUAAUCGAGACUAUGUUAAUUAUCGUCACAGCGGUAACAAUGACAAUCGAGGCUACAGUGAUUUAAAAAUAAGAUUUCCUUGGCUUAGAGAGAAGCCAUUUGACUGGAAUGUCUUGCAUAGCCCCUUUACAUUAUCUAGUUUUUAACUAUUAUAGCGAGAACAGCCAACUCUUUAUCUAAUCUUCCAUAAUGUAUCUUUAAUUAUUUUAAGCAAAUAUUUUAUAUUUACUACAAGGCUUUCAAUUAUUUACAUUCCUGUUCUUGUUUAAAACUUUUUUAUGCGUCCUAAUAAUGGCAUUUUACAUGUAAACAGUGUGUAAAUACAGAAAUAACUAAUAUCA